CAUGUAAUUGACAAAGGAUUACUCUUUUUUUUUUUUUUUUUUUUAAAGGGCCACACCUGUGACAUAUGGAAGUUCCCAGGCUAGGGGUCGAAUUGGAACUGUUAUAAAGAGCUACUAUUAUAAAGGAGUACUAUCUAGAUUUUUUUUUUUCAUUUUAAAAAUUCUACAUAUGAAAAGAAAAAUACAAAUAACCCAAUAGAAAUAUGCACACAGGAUAUGAACAGGUAGUUCAGAGGGAAAAUCUCAAAUCACAAUGAAAAGAUUCUGAACAUGACCAGAAAUAAUGGAAAUGUAAUGAAAGUCCCAAGAUACCACUUUCCACUUAUCAGAAUGGGAAAUACGGCACAACUUUGUGCUGGAGAGCAAUUUGGCAACAUUUUGAAAAGCUGAGGAUGUGUGUUCUUUAGAAUCAAGGGACUGUAUGCAUUUCACAUAUAUGCCUCAGAGAAACUGACACGUGUGCACGUGGAGGGAACCAUGGGAGUCAUCAUGGCACAGUGUAACAGCAAAGAGUUACAUCAGUAGGGGACACAUCAGUACGCUACGCCCAGUACAGUCACAAGACCGGAUGUGGCCUAGGGCUAUGUGUGUGUCAGCGACGAAGCCCAUACAUAAAUGUGAGUGGAAGAAAGGUGAAAUAAUGGAGUUCCCAUUGUGGUGCGGUGGAAAUGAAUCCAACUAGGAACCAUGAGGCUGCCAGGGAUCGAACCCGCAACCUCACGGUUCCUAGUCAGAUUUGUUUCCGCCGCGCUACAGCGGGAACUCCCCAGAGUCCUUAAGUUUAACUUAUUAUUCUACCCUGUUGCUGGGCCUUAUUCUCUCUGAAUCUUGUAAUGGCUGGAAGGGUGAGCACAGAGCCGUUCUCCAGGGCUCAGAGUGUGGCCUGUGACUUGUUCAGUGGCAAGGGCAGAGUAGGCUACCGGGUCUUCUCUGUCAAAAUGCAGUCGUUCUGAAGCCUCAUCUGGAAACUCUUUCCUUUGUGACUCCAAAAGGUGCAGAGUGGCCAUGUUCAUCCAGGCCCUCCUCCUACACCUGCCUCUCCCCUCCUCCAAACAGCUGUCUGUUCAGUCUUCCACUCUUCCCUCCAGGAAGAGGGCAGACCCUCCUCACCAAUUCCUUCUUCAGGAUCUGCCAGCAGUGGGGCACCAUAUGUCUCCUCCUGGUCCCUGAGUUGGCAAAUGGCACAACAGCCCUUUUGCCUUUCAAAGAUAGGACUGCAAGAGUUCCUGUUGUGGCUCAGCAUGUUAAGAACCCGACGUAGUGUCUGAGAGGAUGCAGGUUUGAUCCCUGGCCUCGCUCCGUGGGUUAAGGAUCUGGUGUUGCUGUGGAUGUGGUGUACGCCAGCAGCUGCAGCUCAGCUUGGAAACCCUUAACCUGGAAACUAACAUAUGCCACAAGUGCGGCUGUAAAAAGAUUUAAAGAAAAAAAAAGUAGGACCACAGAUGUUUCCCCAAUAAUCCAAUUAUACUAGAAAGAGUCUCGGAGUUCCUGUUGUGGCGCAGCGGAAAUGAAUCCGACUAGAAACCAUGAGGUUGCGGGUUCGAUCCCUGGCAUCGCUCAGUGGGUUAAGGAUCCAGUGUUGCCAUGAGCUGUGGUGUAGGUUGCAGACAAGGCUCGGAUCCCGAGUUGCUGUGGCUGUGGAGUAGGCUGCCAGAUGUAGCUCUGAUUCGAACCUCCGUAUGCUGUUGGUGUGGCCCUAAAAAGCAAAAAAAAAAAAAAAAAAAAAAAAA
rnacentral:lncRNA from 1 species